ensembl:ncRNA F09F3.15 ncRNA
UUCUUGGUCCAAGGCAAUCUCGUCUUUUAACUGCCGACUGCUUCAUUCCAACUUGUAAGCACUUUUGAAGACGACAAGCUCGGCAAGAUGACCGGAAUUCUGAAA